UACGUAGGGGGCUAGCGUUGUCCGGAAUCAUUGGGCGUAAAGAGCGUGUAGGCGGCCCGGUAAGUCCGCUGUGAAAGUCGGGGGCUCAACCCUCGAAAGCCGGUGGAUACUGUCGGGCUAGAGUGCGGAAGAGGCGAGUGGAAUUCCCGGUGUAGUGGUGAAAUGCGUAGAUAUCGGGAGGAACACCAGUGACGAAGGCGACUACCUGGCCUGUUCUUGACGCUGAGGCGCGAAAGCUAGGGGAGCAAACGGGG
rnacentral:rRNA from 1 species